rnacentral:lncRNA from 1 species
UUUUUGCACAUACAAGCUCAAGAACAAAGAUUUUGGUACUAUACCCAGAAAGUCAGCGCAAAUGGAUCUCGGAAUCUAGGCCUAACGAGUAAUACGCGGAAAGGUGUGGAUUAGCAUACUUUGAUAGCCUAGUACUUGUGCAACCUGCAUAGCCACAUGGGGUACUUGGUUAUUGGUUGUGGUAACCAGGACACUACGUGACGACCCCCUUUGUGUUAGCUGCUUGUGAAGUUUAUGUGCGAUACUAUGUGGAUCUGCUACUUUGCUAAAUAAAACGGUUCAUGGAAACUCGCGUAGUAUCUAGCUAAAAUAUGUAACAGUAAUGUGUAAUAGCGAUACGUAAAACAAUGAUGUAUCAUAUUGUUUAAUUAAUGUUUAAUAGAGUAUCUU